rnacentral:rRNA from 1 species
GGCUGCUCCUAGUACGAGAGGACCGGAGUGGACGCAUCACUGGUGUUCGGGUUGUCAUGCCAAUGGCACUGCCCGGUAGCUAAAUGCGGAAGAGAUAAGUGCUGAAAGCAUCUAAGCACGAAACUUGCCCCGAGAUGAGUUCUCCCUGACCCUUUAAGGGUCCUGAAGGAACGUUGAAGACGACGACGUUGAUAGGCCGGGUGUGUAAGCGCAGCGAUGCGUUGAGCUAACCGGUACUAAUGAACCGUGAGGCUUAACCUUACAACGCCGAAG